UACAGAGGUCUCAAGCGUUGCUCGGAUUCAUUGGGCGUAAAGGGUGCGUAGGCGGCGCGGUAAGUCGGGUGUGAAAUCUCGGAGCUUAACUCCGAAACUGCAUUCGAUACUGUCGUGCUUGAGGACUGGAGAGGAGACUGGAAUUUACGGUGUAGCGGUGAAAUGCGUAGAUAUCGUAAGGAAGACCAGUGGCGAAGGCGGGUCUCUGGACAGUUCCUGACGCUGAGGCACGAAGGUCAGGGGAGCAAACGGG
rnacentral:rRNA from 1 species